rnacentral:rRNA from 1 species
GGGCACUCUGAAAGAACUGCCAGUGAUAAGCUGGAGGAAGGUGGGGAUGACGUCAAGUCCUCAUGGCCCUUACGUGUUGGGCUACACACGUGCUACAAUGGUAUCUACAACAGGAAGCAAGAUGGCAACAUUAAGCAAAUCCUAAAAAGAUACCUCAGUUCGGAUUGCACUCUGCAACUCGAGUGCAUGAAGCUGGAAUUACUAGUAAUCGCGGAUCAGCGUGCCGCGGUGAAUACGUUCCCGGGUCUUGUACACACCGCCCGUCACACCAUGGGAGUUGGUUCUACCCGACGACGCUGCGCUAACCCUUCGGGGAGGCAGGCGGCCACGGUAGGAUCAGCGACUGGGGUGAAGUCGUAACAAGGU